CAUUACCGAGUAUCGGGGCCCUCUGGGUUCCUACUCCCACCCCAUGUGUACCCAUCCUAGUUGCUUUGGCGGGUCGCUGGUUUUUGACCACCGCCGGCUUUAUAGCUGGUGAGUACCCGCCAGAGGACCCUUAAAACUCGUCUUAGCGGUGGUUCUGAGUCGAUUUUGAAUGAAAGAAAACUUUCAACAACGGAUCUCUUGGUUCUGGCAUCGAUGAAGAACGCAGCGAAAUGCGAUAAGUAAUGUGAAUUGCAGAAUUCAGUGAAUCAUCGAAUCUUUGAACGCACAUUGCGCCCUUUGGUAUUCCGAAGGGCAUGCCUGUUCGAGCGUCAUUUAAAAACAUCAAGCACCGCUUGGUCUUGGGCGGGGUCUCCGGACCCACCUGUAACCGGUUGGCGGUACCGUCUGGCUUUGAGCGUAGCAAGUUAAACCCUCGCUUCGGAGCUUGUACGGGACUGGCUCGACUUAAACCUAAAGUUUG
rnacentral:rRNA from 1 species